GUAGUGCUCUGCGAGGUGCUGCAGACAUGACUGAUUUUCAGUGCCAAGAAUGGAAGAAUGAAGGCUGUUCACAUCAGUCAAAAAGGUGGUCAUUUAAGCCUUCACUGCACAAGGUUUCUACUGUACAAUUUCUCAUUGAAAACUGCCUCAGCAUUUUUUAAGAAGACAUCACUUCCCCCUUGGGGAAGAAAGAACUCAAUGACUUGAAGAAACUGAUGCUUCAGGUACCUUGAAAAAUUCAGCUGGUUUUGAUGAGAAACAGUCAAUGGGGCUGUUAGGGGUCCUGGCGGAUGCUUAGGCAGUGGCUGUCCUGGAUUCCAGGGAAUGCCCCAAACCCAGUGAUGCAGGACCCAGGACUCCAUCUGCUCAUUCUUCAUAAGGUUGGCUCACAGGUCAUCUGCUGAGAAGGUCAUCUUCUCCGUCUUCACUGGGCUCACUGAAUGAGGACAUUCCAAGAUCCCAGCUCAUCUCAUUUGAGCUUUCCUUUUCCUAAUCCCAUGCAUCUGUGUUUGAGAAAAUCUUCCCAAGUGAUAGAUCUUCUAUUUUCCGAUUUCUUCCAUGUUGUAUUACUUUUUUUAUUAAUAAUAAUAAAUACACAUAUUUUUGGUGUGUACAUGCAUAUUAGUCUGUUUCGUGUUGUUAUAAAACAAUACCAGAGGUGAGGUAACUUAUAAAGGAAAGAGGAUUAUUUGGCUUAAGGUUGUACAGAUCAGCAUCUGCUUCUGGUGAGGGACUCAGGAAGCUCUUAGAUAUGGGAGAAGGUAAAGGGGGAGCAGGCUGGUCACAUGGCAAGAGAGCAAGCAAGAGAGAUGGGAGGAGAUGCCAG
rnacentral:lncRNA from 1 species